rnacentral:SRP_RNA from 1 species
UGUCAGGAACCGUGCGAGCAGUCGCCGCCCAACCCCGCCAGGUUCGGAAGAAAGCAACGGUAAGCGGAUGUCUGUUGCGCCGCGGCCCUCCUGAUACAG